rnacentral:rRNA from 1 species
AACCUCCGCAAUGUGAGAAAUCGCGACGGGGGGAUCCCAAGUGCCAUUCUUAACGGGAUGGCUUUUCAUUAGUGUAAAGAGCUUUUGGAAUAAGAGCUGGGCAAGACCGGUGCCAGCCGCCGCGGUAACACCGGCAGCUCUAGUGGUAACAAUUUUUAUUGGGCCUAAAGCGUCCGUAGCCGGUUUAAUAAGUCUCUGGUGAAAUCCUGUAGCUUAACUGUGGGAAUUGCUGGAGAUACUAUUAGACUUGAGACCGGGAGAGGUUAGAGGUACUCCCAGGGUAGAGGUGAAAUUCUGUAAUCCUGGGAGGACCGCCUGUUGCGAAGGCGUCUAACUGGAACGGUUCUGACGGUGAGGGACGAAAGUUAGGGGCGCGAACCGGAUUAGAUACCCGGGUAGUCCUAACUGUAAACGAUGCGGACUUGGUGCUGGGGUGGCUUUGAGCUGCUCCAGUGCCGAAGGGAAGCUGUUAAGUCCGCCGCCUGGGAAGUACGGUCGCAAGACUGAAACUUAAAGGAAUU